UGGGGAAUAUUGGACAAUGGGCGCAAGCCUGAUCCAGCAAUGCCGCGUGUGUGAAGAAGGCCUGCGGGUUGUAAAGCACUUUCAGUGGGGAGGAGAAGCUCUUGGCUAAUAUCCAAGGGAAGAGACGUUACCCACAGAAGAAGCACCGGCUAACUCUGUGCCAGCAGCCGCGGUAAUACAGAGGGUGCAAGCGUUAAUCGGAAUUACUGGGCGUAAAGGGUGCGUAGGUGGUUUAAUAAGUUGGGUGUGAAAGUCCUGGGCUCAACCUGGGGACUGCGCUCAAUACUGUUAAGCUAGAGUACUGUAGAGGAAGGUGGAAUUUCCAGUGUAGCGGUGAAAUGCGUAGAUAUUGGAAGGAACAUCAGUGGCGAAGGCGACUUUCUGGACAGAUACUGACACUGAGGCACGAAAGCGUGGGGAGCAAACAGGAUUAGAUACCCCCGUAGUCC
rnacentral:rRNA from 1 species